rnacentral:lncRNA from 10 species
ACAACAUCAAGACCCAAGUGGUGAUGGGAUCCUUCAACACAACAUAUGUUUCUCUCUAUUUUGGGAGUGGUCACCCCAACAGCAUUCUAGUCAGGCACUGCCUGGCCAACCCCACAACCAGACCUGAGGCUUUCCAACCUGAACCAUGUACUCCUUGGGAGUGGAGGGAUGGACUGACAGGGAAUCAUCACUAAUACAGUCACUUU